GGGGAUAUGAUGGCUUAGCUUGGGCUCCGAGGCCUGACACCUGUUAUUAGAUUCUAGCCUUAUUCAUUGUUUUUGAGUUUUUAUUAUUUGCCUAUAAUUUGGACUGGAUUCAGACUUAUUUCCUGGCUGCAAGUCUCCAAACUAACAUUUUCAACUUUUUCUUCCAUUUUCUUGAUUUGGAAUUGUUACUGGAAAGGGGUCCCGAUCCAGACCCUAAGACAGAGUUCUUGGAUCUUGCGUACGAAAGAAUCCAGGGGUUUUUUCUCUGAAAGAUUUUGAAGAACGAGGACAUGUGACAGAAAAUUUAAAAAAUUUCAGGACUUCCACUCCUUAUUCCAAAGAGGCUGAGUUAUGCAACCCCCUCUUGCAAAUGAAUAGCUGUCACUAGCAUUAUGCGUUAGCCAGACCCGCAUGGAAAGGUAAAAGGCCUCAGGCAUCUCCGAAUAACUUCCCCAUAGAUCAUGCAUAAGUAAAUUCUUUGCCAGCCUCCCAUAAACAAGGACAUGCCAGUUGUAACUUUAGGUUUCCAGUGUAUCUCGCUCCUAAAACUAAAGUCUGUUCCAUUCCACACUGAUAAUGUUGAUUACAAGCUUAUCUUCCCAGGUGUAGAACAAAGACAAAUGAGAUCAGUCAUUCCUCCAGCUACCCAAAGAUGUUUGCAUAAUUGAUUCUUCCUUUAAUCCCUUUUUUCUUCAGACAUUCAUCUUAUCUUAUGUAAAAAUGUAGAUUUACUGGGCACUAACUAAAGUCUCCUAAGAAUGUAACCAUUCACCUUUACACCUACCUGCCCAUCUUCCUACGUGCCUUCCUCCCCUUUAAGGAAAAGUAUACAUACUAAACCUCCUGAAAACCUCUUUGGAAAAACAGCCACAGAUACAUCUGUGGCUCACGUUUUUUUCCCUGACACUCCCUGAAGCUGGCUUAAUAAACCUCAAUUGACUGAGAUACUUGCCUCAGUCACUCAUUCUGGUUAUCUUUCCCAACAUGGAUGUCAGCAGUGACAUUAACUACUAGUUCUGCCCCUUACUCUAUGGCAUCACUUGACUGUAAGCACCAUAUAGGCAUGCCACCUUUAUCUUCUUGAUUUUAUUCCUAGUGCCUGGCAUUUAAGACAUACUCAAGAUAUACUUGCUAAAUUGAAACCUCUC
rnacentral:lncRNA from 1 species